ACAGGUCUGUGAUGCCCUUAGAUGUUCGGGGCCGCACGCGCGCUACACUGACCGGAUCAGCGUGUGCUCUCCUUGGCCGACAGGUCCGGGAAACCCGUUGAACCCCGGUCGUGCUAGGGAUAGGGAAUUGCAAUUAUUUCCCUUGAACGAGGAAUUCCCAGUAAGCGCGAGUCAUUAGCUCGCGUUGAUUACGUCCCUGCCCUUUGUACACACCGCCCGUCGCUACUACCGAUUGAAUGGUUUAGUGAGGUCCUCCGAUUGGACCCGGUCCGGGCGGCGACGUCCGAGCCGGCGUCCGAGAAGACGAUCUAACUUGAUCAUUUAGAGGAAGUAAAAGUCGUAACAAGGUUUCCGUAGGUGAACCUGCGGAAGGAUCAUUA
rnacentral:ncRNA from 1 species